GCGUGCGUUCGGGGGACGCCCGGUUUCGGCCGGAACCCAGGGUCAGGGUCAGUCCCCCGAACUCUGC
rfam:Alphaproteobacteria bacterium 65-37 SCNpilot_cont_300_bf_scaffold_3419, whole genome shotgun sequence.